UGAGGAAUAUUGGUCAAUGGGGCGCAGGCCUGAACCAGCCAAGUCGCGUGAGGGAAGACGGUCCUACGGAUUGUAAACCUCUUUUGUCGGGGAGUAACGUGCGGGACGCGCCCCGUAUUGAGAGUACCCGAAGAAAAAGCAUCGGCUAACUCCGUGCCAGCAGCCGCGGUAAUACGGAGGAUGCGAGCGUUAUCCGGAUUUAUUGGGUUUAAAGGGUGCGUAGGCGGGGUGGUAAGUCAGCCGUGAAAUGUCCACGCUCAACGUGGAACGUGCGCUUGAUACUGCCGUCCUGGAAUGCGGAUGCCGUGGGAGGAAUGUGUGGUGUAGCGGUGAAAUGCAUAGAUAUCACACAGAACACCGAUUGCGAAGGCAUCUCACGAAUCCGCAAUUGACGCUGAGGCACGAAAGCGCGGGUAUCGAACAGGAUUAGAUACCCUGGUAGU
rnacentral:rRNA from 1 species